AACAUUUGGUGUCCACCGUGGGGCCUCAGUAAUAUUUUCCCAGGCCACACAAAAAUCAUCUCCCACCCCAACUGUGCAUGUCCAAAUCAUCUCCCAGCCAAAGUGAUCCACCUCCGCCACCAGAUUUAACCCAAUUACUCGCAAUGGUGGAGGCUCUCUAUCAACAUAAUGAAACAUUGCAAGAUAGUGUUCAUAUUUUGCAAACACGUGGUCAACAAGAUGAGGAUACAAAGUAGGAGCUUCUGGAUCCCAACCAUUAUCUGAGGCGAUCUGAGACGAUCAAGUUCUAGAGAACUUGAAACCAUAAUUUUUGGUAUCUUUUGAUGAUACAAUCGAUCCACAGGAACACAUUCUUGCGAUCAAUAAUCAAAUGGAAAUAGUAGGGGCUUCCGACUCCCUUAAGUGUAAACUCAUGGUAGGUACCUUUAAAUAAAGGGGCUCUACGUUGGUAUAUGAGCUUACCCAAAUUCUUGGUCAUUAGUUAUCAGGACCUAACUAAAAAGAUGGUACAACACUUUUCAGCAAGCAAACAUAGAAAAAUGUCGACUACCAGUUUAUUCAACAUCCGACAUGGGUACACAGAAUCUCUCAGAGAGUAUCUGGAGAGGUUCAACGAAGAAACCAUUAACAUGUCUCACCCAAACCAGGAGACGUUUGUGGGGGUGUUUCAACAUGGCCUCGAAGUCGGUCAGUUCAAUGAAUCCCUAACGAAGAAGCUGACAUCCAGCAUGGAUGAGGUUAUUACCAUAUUAGAAUUCUAUAUUAAAGGGGAGGAGAAUAACAUGGAAAAGAUGUCUCGAGAUGCCAAGUAAGAAAUGCGAGCUAAAAAAGAGGGAGUCGAGCAUAGGAGGAGUACCUAGAGACUGGACCAUGAUGAGACCAUCUCGGUGACCAUUUGACAAGGAUGUCGAGUAUAUGUCACUGAAUGCAAGACGUGAAGAUAUUUUGAAAGAAGCCUAUCGUCUCAAAUUACUCCCCACCCCGACGUUCCCAAUAGGUGUUCACGCCAUGAUGGUAAAAGGCGAGAAUGCAUGGUGUGCAUACCACAGACUUCGUGGUCAUCACACAGAAGAUUGUCAUCAGCUCAUGAGAUAAAUCGAGAUCUUAAUUUAGAGAGAUCAUUUGUUGUCCUAUGUGAAAGAUGUUAGAGGACAUCCAGGAAAGAGAAGUCCUCCCAUGGAGGAUGCCAGCUCGGAAAAUCCUAUCUAAAAGAAAGGGGAAAUACGGAUAAGGUCCCCGAAACCCGAGUGACCCGUCAUAUAUUAAAUUACAUUGUUGGAGGAUACGCAGGAGGAGAAGAAACCAGUUCAUCCAGGAAAAGAUAUGCCUGGGGAAUGAUACAUACCAGACAGAAGCCAUUUUCAGAAGAAGAUGGAAAUUCGUCCAAAAUCAAUUUCUCUAGAAAGGAUUUCGAAGGAGUAUUGGCUCACGAGAAUGACCUAAUGGUAUUUAAAGUACAAAUUCAUGACUGGAAUGUGUAGCGAUUCUUGGUAGAUCCGGGAAGUUCAGCAGACGUUUUGUAUUGGGACGCAUUUAAGGGUAUGAGUUUUGAUAUCGUCAAGUUGUUACCUUUUAAAGUUACCUUGUCGAUUUCUCCAGAGAACAGGUGCAAGUUCUAGGGAAUUUUCCCAUGAUAAAAACUUUUGGCAGUGGGGACAACACAAAAAGUGUCAAGGUUAAGUACUUAAUUGUCAAUGUUGCUUCUCCUUACAACAUUACUAUUGGCAGACCAUCAUUUAAUGCUUUGGAGGCGGCAUUAUCCAUUUUAUGUCUCACGCUGAAGUAUCCUCUCAAAAAUGGCCACGUAUGGGUGAUAAAGGGUGAUCAAGGAUUAGCAAGGAAAUGUUAUAAGGAUAAUCUGAAGCUCAAAAAGUAAGCUCAAGCUAAUGAUACAAUAAAAGGUGAUCAUUUCAAUGUGAAUCUAGUGCAUAUUGACCCAAAUGAAGACCCGGUGGAAGAUAGUCGGACACCCGUCGAGGAUGUGAAGAAGGUGCAAAUCGGUGCUCAAGUACCCCAGACAACUCAGAUUGGUUCUAAUUUGUCUCUGGAGGAGUAAGACGGGAUCUUAAGAAUAUCAAAUGAGAACGUAGAUUUGUUCGCAUGGAAAUCGAUUAACAUGCUCGGAAUCAGUCCAAACAUAGUUUUUCGUCAUCUAGCGUCGGAUGCAGCCAUCAAAUAGGGGUAUAUUGUUAGUAAGGUUCUAGGGGAGCAUAAUUGUGUUAUCAGAAGAUUAAGCGUCUUGCGUUGGAACUAGUGAUUACAACUCAGAAGUUGAGAUACUAUUUCCAGGGACACCCUAUCAUUGUCAAAACCAAUUACCUUAUCAAACAGGUCCUGAAGAAAUCAGACUUUGCAGGGAGAAUGGUGCCAUGGGCAGUAGAAUUGUCAAAGUAUGAUAUAAAGUUUGUGCCUCUGAAUGACAUCAAACCACAAGUGUUUGUUGAUUCCCUGGUUAAACUGAGUGCUCCGACCUCGGAAGAGUCACCAUAUAGACGGACUUUAUCCAUGGAUGGAUCCUCUAAUCUUAAAGGAAGUGAAGUCAGGAUAAUGUUGGAAAGAUCGGGAGACCGGGUCUUAAAAUAUUCUUUGUGUUUUAGUUUGAAGGCUAGCAAUAACCAGACGGAGUAUGAAGCUUUAAUUGCAGGAAUGAGUUUGGCAAAGGAGGUUGGAAUAACACACUUGCUUGUUCAAACUAAUUCUUAGUUAACUUCCAGUCAGGUUAGAUGAGAGUUUCAGAUGAAGGAUCCAUUGUUAAUCAGAUACUUGCAAAAAGCUCUCAAUAUGUUUCAGACAUUUGUAGAAUUCUAGGUAAACCACAUUCCUAGGGAGGAGCGUCGGAGCCAGCCUCUUAGUUUGAUUAGUGAGUCCCAAAGGUUCCGGUGUAAAUAAGACUAUAAUUUAAGAAACCUAGGAAGCACCGAGCACAGAGGUUAAAUAAGUUAUGACAAUGAAUAAUCUGAGAGGUUGGAUGAUACAUAUCAUUCAGUAUUUGACCCAGAAUGAGUUACCAGAAGAAGAGGUAGAAAUAGAAAAUGAGAUUAUUCUAUUCGGGAUGAAAAAAAGAUUGAAUGAGACUAAGGGGUUACGGGUCAAUUACUUUUACGAGACCUUAUGGAUUUAUCAUACUACCCCUCCUUCUAGCGCUAUUAUUUCAAUGGUACCGAUAGAAAUUAAUACUCCGGCCUAGAAGCGUAUUGUUAUUAUUGAAAAUGUUAACUCAGAUGGUCUGGACAAUUCUGCAAAUCUGUUGGAUGAAGUCAGGGAAACAGCUGAGCUAAGGGACUUCGUGGCCAAACAUAGAGUUUCCAUGGGAUUUAAUAAUAAAGUAAGGCAUAGAGGAUUUUACAAAGGAAAUUUGGUGUUAAAGAGGGUGACUGGUCCUAAGAAUAAAGGCAAGUUAGCUCCAAAUUAGGAAGGACCUUUUCAUAUUCGUCAGAGGUUAAAUAAUGGGGCUUAUAAGUUAGAAAGUUUGAACGUUGUUGAAUUACCUAGGGUCUGGAUUGUAACCAAUCUUAAGUUUUAUUUCAGCUAAACUAUGUAAUAGACAUCAUGAGUAAAAUUGUGGGAAUGCACUAUUUUCCCUUGCAAGGGCAAGGGUUUUUAAUGAGGCACCCAUAGUUAAAACACUUGUAUUGUAAAUUUAUAAAGCAGGUAAAAAGGUCCUUGGACAUAAUUCGAGAUUAAGCCCAAAUCCAAAAAGUAAUCAUCCAAAGGUUGGGAACCUCUGCCACAAUCGGCUUCCAGCUAAGUUAAUUUAAACCUCUUGUCUAACUAAAGUCCAGGUUAAUUUAAACCUCUGACAUAAUCAGUUGCGGUUGGACUAAGAUAAUUGAAACCUCUAGCCUAACUGAAGUCCAAGUUAAUUGAAACCUCUGGCAUAAUCGGCUGCGGUCGGCUAAGUUAAUUGAAACCUCUGGCUAACUGAAGUCCAAGUUAAUUGAAAUCUUUGGCAUAAUCAGAUGCGGUCGGGCUAAGUUAAUUGAAACCUCUGGCAUAACUGAAGUCCAAGUUAAUUGAAACCUCUGGCAUAAUCGGUUGCGGCCGGGCUAAGUUAAUUGAAACUUAUGGCCUAACUGAAGUUCAAGUUAAUUAAAACCUUAGGCAUAAUCGGUUGUGUACAUGCUAAGUUAAUUAAAACCUCUGGCCUAACUGAAGUCCAAGUUAAUUGAAACGUCUGGCAUAAUCAGUUGCGGUCAGGUUAUCUUUAAAAUCUCUGAAGCCGGUUAUGUAAGCAAUAAACCUCUAGUAGAGGUAUGUUUAAUAGAGUUAGCUAAGUAAGAAGAACUUAUGGCCUGGAAUUAAAAUCUUGGACUUAAGUAAAUGAUCACAUAAAUUAACAUAGUCAAAACAUUACAAGCACAAGACAUAUAUGGUCAAAACAAUCAGGAUUUUAGAAAACAAAUAAAAGGGUAAUUAAUAAAAAAUGGCCCUGAAAAGGCCUAAACAUCUAACAUAAAAACAAAAUAUUGUUCAAAGGUAAAAAAGGGCACAUCACUACGAAUGGCCAAUUACAACACAUUAGCAAAAUUAAACUUCAUAAUGGUUGUUUUUCUGAGCUUCAUGCAUUGGAUUGUCCACUACCGCGUCCUUCAAACCCUCUGUAUAAGGGGAAUCAUCCUUCAUGUCGACCAAUUUCCCAUCUACCACAGUCUUAAAAAAGUCCAUCCUUGUCACAUCCAGGUCGGGCAUGAUGCAUAAAGCUUGAGAUUUAGAUCCCUCGAAGGCAUCAUUUCCGACAGAGAGAAAAUCCACCUGGGCAUCUUGUAGAGAAUUAUUUAAAGUCUCAUUGAGAGCCCGAACCUGUUCUACUUCUCAGAUUAAGCCGACAUUGGUCAUUUCCAGCUCUGAGCACUUGGACUCAACGGUUUCCUUUUGCUUAGUCAUUUCUGAUAACUGGUAUUCUGAUGUCUCUUUAUGUUUCUUCAUCUCUGCAACUUGCUUGUUUAGCUCAUCUACCUGGAGAGUCUGGGCUUUUAGAUCAUCCUUCAACUGGUUUAUGUCUUUUGUAAGACGAGUCAUAUUAUAUUCAUAGGCACCACCUACUUAAAAAAUACCCCGAGUCAUGACUACACACCUUAUUAGAUAAGCUCUGAGAUUUUAUGUCGACUACUGAGCACCUAUUGACUUCACCUUCUCAACGUCCUCAGUAGCAUUCAGAUGAUCAUAAAGAUAGCGCAAACUGUAAAAACUAUUGGACCAGAACUUGAAUUCAGAUGAUGGGUUAGUUUUGUGACUAUUACCUUAAUUCUGCAUCAAGGUGGUGAUAGCCAGGUCGGCAUGGUUGACAUCAUCACUCAUUAAGGUCUUCAUUUUCUUUGGAGAUACCGACUUAGGAUCCUCAGAGGAAGGAAUGUAGGUAGCUUGAGGCUCAGAUGAAGUGGGAGUUGUUUUGAUAACUUCCAUCUUCUUCCUCUUAAGAGACCGAGUUUGAAUACCUAUCAUAGGACAUUUAGAAGUCGACUGAUCCCCAUGCCUCACUCUGACUUCAACCAUCAAUUUCUUUUGUUAGGAAAGUUUGAGGUUUCUCAUUUUCACUAAAAGGGAACAGUGCAAGCAGAAAUCAAAAAACAUGAGGAUUAAUAAAGUUAGAAAGAGCAAUAAAUAAGCACAUAUAAGCAUUACCCAAGAAAUUAGAAGUUUGUCCUGGAUCUUCAGUCAUCUGUAGUAAAUCCUUAACUUUAACUACCCGGAAGGCGUCCAAAACGACUAAAGAUCGGACUACCAUAGCAUUCAACUUAUCAUAAUCGAAGUCGGAGACUCUCAAAGGACUGUCCGACCAAUAAAUCAGGAAACAUUACUUCUCGUCCAGCGCAUACAUGACCUGGGGACAUCUCUUGCCGCUCUUCACUCGAAAUAAUUUGUCCUCAAAACCCUUAUAAUUGGUAGUAUAAGCUUAUAGGUAGCUUUUUCUCAGAAUCCUGCUAAGGGAAACCCAACCUCCUUUUUUCGCCCCUUUCAACUCAAAAAAUGAGAAAAACAAGCCUAAGGUAGGCAUUGUGUCCAUUGUGUCACAGGCAUUUCAAAGGCCUUAAUAAAAACCUAACCAUUUGGGCAUAAUUGAGAAUGGGCUAUAUUUAGGAUUUUUAGGAGGUUAGAUUCAAAAUUAGUAUAUAGGAUGCGAAUUUUGAAGUCCUCGAUCACUCCUGAAUAGAAAUAGAAGUACUCAUCAGACACUCAUUUUGGUCGAGUAAGGCAGACACGCUCACCAUCUACACAAGGUGCCAGUAUAAUGUCUUCUUAAUUUCAGAUUGAAGAGACUAGGGUAUUAGAACGAAGCUUCGAGAUGUAGCUUUUGUCAAUGAUAAUAUGGUUGUAACCUAGAACUUCUUUAUCUAUGAAUGAUCAUGUAGCUUCCAUUUGAGUGUCCAAAAAACCUGAGUACGAAGACUCUGAGUCAGUGUUACUAAUAGGUGAAGGGAUUUCACCAUAAACUUCUCUAAUAAUCCGAUCAAAAUCCAUUCGACUCAAAUAACCCUCACACUCUCACAUGUAAGCAUUCCAAAUCUUAUUUUUAUCACUAGUAGUAAGAGAAAUUGAACAUUCUUUCGAAUGACUAUAGCUUCGUAUUGAAGACAUAAUAAAAGAACAAAAAAAAAAGCAAAGAGGGAAAAGAAAAUGAUACUUGGGGCUUGAGAUAGCAGAUGAGUAGAGAGAGAGAGAGAGAGAGAGAGAGAGAGAGAUGCAGAAAAAAAGUGUGUCCGCAAAUACUUAGGGAGAAGAUCAAUAGUUUUGGUAGUAAACAAAAUGAAAAAACAAGGUCCUUUUAAAGAGCAAGUUUGUUACGGUCAAAAUUCACAUAAAAAAGAGAAAUCAUGACAAGUGAGAGUUUCCAUAAAAACAAUCAUGAUGAGGAAAAAGAAAGAUUUGUCAUCAUUAAAAUGACUGGCACCGCAGUAGUUUGCCGAGUAGGAGGUCGGUCUAAGGAAGAGGGAAUUCCGAGACUAUCUUGACCGAACACUUCAAUCCAAUAGGACAUCGCGAUCGAGGGGCUUAUGUACAUCCGAAAUUCCUUGAGGCUGAGCUUUUGAGAACCGAGUACAAAGAGACAAGAAGUUCAGGUAGUCAUAACCUUACACAAGUCGGUACUCGGUUAGGAUUCAAUUAGGCACACAAUAAGCACGUCGGAGUUGACCACGUAAAAUCACUAGAGAACAAAGUCAUAUCUGAUGCCAGUGCUGGAAAAUCAUAUGAACGGUCACAAUGGACGAUUAUCAUACGUCUACAUGAUGGCAGGGAUUACAGAAGCUGGGGGAAAAGGAGUUAUGAGAUGAUUAUAGAAGGCGACGAAUGUUAUUCCAAAUUCCCUUAAUGAGGAAUAUGAAGAUACACCCAUUUAAGGGUCAUUGAUGGUGGAAGGAGUAUAAAAGGAGACUUCCUCCAAGAGGAUGAGGGAUACUAGAACGAUCAACAAGGGAUACCUGCAACCAAUUAACCGAUAAUCUAAGGCUCUUCCUGGUUUGCAUCGGGAAAUUCAACAUUUUAGUGUUUUUAGCAAUAACAAUGUAUAACCAAUCAAUGAAUAACAGAUUUAUCUCUUUGUAAGUUAUUUUUUCCUUUUUUCUAGCUUGCUUUGUUUUCUUCAUCACCUUCAUAGAACUUGUGCAUGAUUAAUGCACCACACACACACACAUGCACACACACACACGCGCACACACACACACGCACGCACGCACACAUGCCCCCCCCCCACACACACACACGCGUGUACGCGCACGCACACACACACGCACACACGACGCGUGUACGCGCACACACGCACACCACACACACACACGACGCACACACGAACCACACACGGCACACACGCACACGGCACAGCACACACACACACACGCACACACACGCACACAAUAAUUAAUAUUAUUACUUUUUAACAAUAAUUUUCCUAUUACAUAUAAUAUCUUUAAUUAUUUAUGAUAUUAUUUUUACUUUUCCUCUCUCUAUAAUAAUUAUCUAAGAGUAGUUUUGAUAAAAAUGCAGUUAAUACUACCUUGAACUAAAUAAUAAUUAAAUAAAUAAAAAAUUAUCAAGAAAAUGACACUUAGAAUAUUAUAUAUAUAUAUAUAUAUAUAUAUAUAUAUAUAUAUAAUAUAUAUAUAUAUAUAUAUAUAUAUAUAUAUAUAUAUAUUAAUAUAUAUAUAUAUAUAUAUAUAUAUAUGAGUAAAAAAGUUAAAUAGUUCAAUUUUCAAUACACUGAGUGUACAAACUUAAAAGUAUAAUUCUAUAAUGAUUAAUUUUAAUUUUUAAUAUAAUUUUUUUAAUUUUGAUUUCUAAUUAAUAUUAUUUUAUCAUUUUAAAUACUUAAUAGUGUGUAUUUUCAUAAAAAUAUAUUACUUUAUUUAUUUAUUUAUUUCUAAACUGUAUGAAAUAACCCAUUGGAUCAUUUAUCACGAGACUAAGAGAAUAUUACGCAUUUGUUUGAUCUACUGAAGCUUUUCGCACGAGUACCCAUAUAUAGCAUGGAAUUUUGUAGUGUAAUGAUAACUCUAUCAAAAAUAACUAUUACCCCCUUGAAAUGAAAAUAAAAUGUCAAUAUUACGAGGUUAGCCUUUUUUCUGUUUUACAAUUAUUGGCUAGAAUGGUGGUUGCAUUUAGUAUUUAGUUAUUUGGACCAUGGAUGUGUGCGUCGGAAGUAAAUCUGAUUGCCAAUAGAUUGAGAGGGUCUAUCAUAUGCAUAGCUGUUUCAUUUCAAUUCUUACCUACCUCAACAUCGACUGACCAAUGACUAGGAGUAUAGUCAUUUGUCUUAUAGUAGUAGUACUGUACAUUUAUUUCAAAUUAUAUACUCUCUUCGUUUAUUUUUAGAUGUUAUUUUUAUUUUUUAAACAAUUUUUAUUGACAAUUAAAAAGAAACCAGGGAGUAUGAAAUUAUCAAUUUCGCACAAAUUAAAAUUUAUAGUUUUUUCUAUAGAUAAGUGGUACAAAAAGGGGAUAAGUGUAAUUAUCAAUAUUGUCUUUGAAAUCGUGUCUGGCUGCCUGACCUCAAAUAUGUCAAAAUUAGGAGAGAUAAAAUGGAUCCGACUCGUUGGGAAUGACCGUUUUGCCGCACUUUAGUGCAGGACGGUCAAAGAUUUAGGUUCUUACUCUCUAAUGUAUCUAUCCGCAUCCUCAAUUAUGUUCUCCCUAUCCCAUCCCUUAUUUUAGGUUUUUUGUGGGACGAGUUUAAAUGGGACGGACAUAUUCAUUUAACACCCCAGUCAAAAUUAUACUUAAAUAAAACUUCAUAAAAUAUUUGUUUAUUUAAAUCGUGAUUAAAUAGAAUCUUUGUUAAUAAAACUUCAUAAAAUAUUUAUUAAAUAUUUGUAUCUUUGAUAAAAUAUAACUAAUCUAUCUAUAAUCUUCAAAAACUUGAGACGGUUAUGAGUUGUAUCAUUUCAAUGCAACAUUAAUUAUUUUUUUCUCAAUAUAUCUUCUAUUAUUUAUUAUUAUUUCUUUCAAUUAUUUAAAAAAAAUUCAUCUAUAAUAAAUAAAGGAUAAUAUCAUAAAGUCAUAUAAUUUAUAUUUCUCGUACAACAAUAAUUAUAUUUUUUAAUUUGCAUGAAAGAUACAUAAAGUUUUAUAAUUUGAAACAAAGGAAGUAAUAUUGUAUAUAGGAAAGACAAAGGAAACAAUAUUAUAUGGAAUAAUAAUUAUAUUUUUUAAUUUGCAUGAAAGAUACAUAAAGUUUUAUAAUUUGAAACAAAGGAAGUAAUAUUGUAUAUAGGAAAGACAAAGGAAACAAUAUUAUAUGGAAUAAGAAAUUAUGAAUGACUUUUCAAUAUUAUUAUUUAUUUAUUAUAAAUGCAAUAUUAUUAUUUAUUUAUUAUAAAUGAAAAAAAAAUGUUAAAAUUCUAAAGUGCGAGACAAAAAAAAAAAUCUUUUUACAAAAUGACUAGGAGUAGAGUAAGGUCUUCAUGGGGAUAGGAGUUGUAUAGACGGACAAGACAAAAGUCACUAAACCUCUAAACUGAUUAAAAUCCUUGCAAAACUUGAAGAACAGAUUAAAAUAAUGUAGUAUUUCGUGAGCCAAUGCUUAGUAUUUUAUGAGCCGCGUUUGAACAGAUUAAAAAUACUCAUGUUUAUUUGCACAAAACUAGUAAAAUUGCAUAUUAAUAAAGAUUGUGGCUGAGCCACGGAUACAAAUAUUUCAGAAACAAAGCGAAAUGAAAUUUUGGGAGAGGGGUGGGAUCAAUUGCUCACAGAGCAUACUAAAAACCUAAAUAUAUUGCACACAGUUAUUGAAAACAACAAAAACACAAAAUUAUCCUUUGCUGUAAAAUCAAACACAGCCAAUAUGACUGCUGAGAUUCUCUUUCCAUAAACCCUUUCACUUGGCAAGCUCAUUACGGAUUUGCUUGGCUGCUGCAACCAAGUUGGUGAGGGCAGGCUUAACCUCUGAGUACUUGCGGGUUUUGAGCCCACAGUCAGGGUUGACCCACAAUAUGUUCUUCUCAAGCACGGCAAGCAUCUUGUUAAUCCUGUCAGCAAUCUCUUCAGUAGGUGGUAUUCUUGGGGAGUGGAUGUCAUACACACCAGGUCCAAUUCCAGCACCAUAAACAACUCCUUCACGGAACACUGACAGAAGCUUUUCGUCAGAACGGGAGUUCUCAAUGGUGAUAACAUCGGCAUCCAUAUUAAUGAUGGAGUGAAUGAUGUCGUUGAAGUUUGAGUAGCACAUGUGAGUGUGGAUCUGUAAAUAUGAAAGUUUAUUACAAUGUAUGGAAAUAGAAAAGGAGAAAAUUAGAACCUAAUGACUUGAAAGCCAAACAUACCUGAGUGGAAUCCUGAACACCAACAUUGGUGAUUCUGAAGGAAUGGACAGCCCAGUCCAAGUAGUGAGCAUGUUCUGACUUCCUCAAUGGAAGUCCUUCUCUCAAGGCAGCCUCAUCAAUUUGGAUAACACCAAUACCACCCUUUUCAAGGUCUUCUACUUCAUCCUUGAUAGCCAAAGCAAUUUGAUAGCAGGUCUCAGAUCUGCAAAUAGAAUCACAUACACCAGGUUUAAAAUGACAUAAUAUGGUAAAUGCUGAUUAUCUCUUUUUUAAAGUGAUAAGGGGUCUAGUUUAUACCUAGGUUGGUCAACUCUAACAAAGGACCAGUUGAGAAUUGUGACAGGGCCAGUAAGCAUUCCCUUCAUUGGACGCUUGGUAAAGCUCUGAGCAAGAGCUGACCAGAAGACAGUCAUUGCCUUUGGGCGGCUCACAUCACCAUAGAUGAUUGGUGGCUUGACACAACGGGAUCCAUAUGAUUGCACCCACCCAUUGGCGGUAAAGGCAAAGCCUGACAACUGCUCGCCAAAGUACUCAACCAUGUCGUUCCUCUGCAACAAAAUGACACCAACAAUUAGUUAGACGUACAAUUUUUGAAUCAGCAAUCUAACAAGAGCAUAAGUAUGUCGAAAGCAGUUGCUCUUCAAAACAAAAGAAGUGAAGAGUAUAAUUAUAAAAGUUAACUAAAUCCAAGUGUAAUAAAGCUAUCUUCACUUAAAAAGACUAAAUGAAAGUCACUAGAAGAUGAUGAAAGUUGACCUCUGGCUCUCCGUGUACGAGGACAUCAAUAUCAAGCUCUUCUUGAAGUUGAACAACUUGGCGGAUUUCCUCCUUGAUUGCCUUGAUGUACUCUUCCUCAGAGAUCCUGAAUAAAACAACAAGAAUCAAUAAAGGAAUGCACAAUGUCAAAUAAACAAGGCAGAGAGAUCCACAAUUGUAGCAUUAUCUUACUUCUUAGCCUUGUAUUCACGACGCACCCUCCUAAGUUCUACAGUCUGAGGGAAUGAUCCAAUAGUGGUGGUUGGGAGAAUUGGAAGGUUAAGCUUCUUUUGUUGGGCAUCCAAUCUGGCACUGACAUUAGUAGCACGGCGAUGGUCAGAACCCUUCAAUGCAGCAGCCUGAGAGUUGAACAGAAAAGGUAUAAUUAAUACCUCCACAUACACAUGUAAACAAAAUCAGUAGUUAAACAGAGAGAAGAAAAAAUAAGCACUCACAGCCUUCUGAACAGCCUCGUUAGUCACUCUUGGAGAGGACUUUCUUGAAGCCUGAGCUGCAGCAUUAGCAGAGAAGAAGGCCUGAAAAUGAAAAUGCAUUAACUCAGGUGAAUUAUGUAGUGAAACAAACAGGAAUUUGCAUUUGUAAAUAGAACUUUUAUCUGAAACACUCAAAAGUCACAAACAAACUAUUGACAGUUGCAUAUAUUGCUUGCCACUGCUAACAAUUGUCUGAUGUCUAUUGACAUUGGUUAUUAAUAUUAUAGGCACUAGUUAUUCAUAUUACAGGUACCCAUUACUUAACUCUGAUUCUCGUGUUACACUUUUCUAUUCUUCCUGAUUCUCUUAAUUGUGCAGUUAUAUUAUUAUUAUUAUUAUUAUUAGAUAAAAUACCACAAUGUCAGUAGGAAACAAACAAUCAAACUAUGUUGAGACAAUAUUUCAAAUGUGACAUGAAAUGGAAGAAAUGGAUAUUACCUCAUCCUUGUUGCCAGAAACUGCAUUAGCCAAUGCAUUUACUUCAACAACUUUUUGGGCAGCAAAAGCUAGCCAUGACUUAAUUUCAUCAUCCAACUUGGUCUCGUUAACAAGAUCCACAGCAGUGUGAAGAAGUGAGCUGGAUGUGGAUACAACAACUCUCUCUGCAUAUGGUUUUUAAAUUAGAUACAUCAAUUGAAAAUGUUUACUUCAAAGACUCCCAAACUUUCCUAUGUAGUGAAUGUACAAUGUUCAAGGAAUACCUUUGCCCACAAUGGCAGCAAGAGUGUCUAAAGUUUUGAGAGAAUCAGCAAGAUCAUUUGCCCAAAUGUUCCUUCCAUCAACCACUCCAGCAAAGAUCAAUUUAUCACUAGGAAAUCCAGCCUUGAUCAAAUCAAUAGUCUUAGCUCCACGGACUAAAUCAAAUCCAUAUGCGUUGACACCACUCAAAGAUGUAAGGGUCUUGUAUGCUUCGGCGGUAAGAUCAGCAAAGUAGGUCUCAACAAGUACAUGCAGACCAGAAAGAGCAGGUGUAAGCUCAGCAUAUGCAUCGGUAAAUGCUUGCAACUUGUGAGAUUCAAGAUCCAAGACAAGUGUGGGUUCAUCAAAUUGAAUAAAUUGAGCACCAGCUGC
rnacentral:lncRNA from 1 species